rnacentral:lncRNA from 1 species
UUUCACUACACGAAAUCCCGGAUUUGAAGAGGUACGCAAAUGUUAUGUAAAUGUAUUCAGAGACCGACAUUUACAUAUAUUUACAAACCGCUGCAUUUAGUUUAUCUUGUCUUUACAUGCUGUAAAUGUCAAUAUUUCUUGUACUAUACCCUCCUAUGGGCGGUUAUGAGAGACCGCGGUUUAUAAAAUAUAUUAACACCUAAUCAAACCAUUUUGAAGUUUAGAAUUUAUAUAUAUUUAUGACCGUCGCAAAACUUUUUCAAACUUAUGUAUUUGUAUACCUCUGCAAAUGGAAAUCUUUG